UACGUAGGCGGCAAGCGUUGUCCGGAAUCAUUGGGCGUAAAGCGCGUGUAGGCGGUCCGGCAAGUCCGCUGUGAAAGUCGGGGGCUCAACCCUCGGAUGCCGGUGGAUACUGUCGGGCUUGAGUACGGAAGAGGCGAGUGGAAUUCCUGGUGUAGCGGUGAAAUGCGCAGAUAUCAGGAGGAACACCAAUUGCGAAGGCAGCUCGCUGGGACGUUACUGACGCUGAGACGCGAAAGCGUGGGGAGCAAACAGG
rnacentral:rRNA from 1 species